UCCCUGCACGAUGGGAUUCUUAUUCUUCUAAUAUCUCUGCGCUAACUAAACGUUUCGAUCUUUGAAGAAUGGGAGCAAUGGAAACCACACAUUUUUACCUACCAGUUGAGCAUCUCUCAUAGUCUAAUAUAAUGGACAUUAAUAAAAACAACGAAAAUAGGUAUAUUUAUUCGGACAACGUCGAGGAAGUUUAUAACGUGCCAAUUGAAGUUAUCAUACGACCAAUCCCUYCUGUACUAGACGAGAGCAAAGUUCAGAGCCUUAUGGGUACAAUACCGGUAAAAAUGUGGCCUAGUUCUGCCUAGAUCAAACAAUAAGAGAGUUGAUUGUUAAGUGGUGGUGGUAUAAAUACAGACGGCAGCAAGAAAAUAGUGAAGAUUAUCUUCUUAAUUAAUUGAGAAACUAGGCUACUGUAUUAGACUGAUAAACCUCUAGUUUGAAUGACACAUUUUUGCCAUGUUUAUUGAAUGUAUCAAACGUGUAUUUCCUUGUUCUGUGUGAUAAAUGACCUCUGAAAUAGAAUAGAAAAACUUACCAAAUACAGUAUUUUUCCUCAUAGGAAUCUAGACAUCAGCACUGUUCCUCCCAUUGAUAUACUCUGGAUCAAGGGAAGGGAAGGAGGAAAUUACUACUACUUUGGAGGCUGUCACCGUUUUGAGGCAAACAAAUGGUUGAAAAUGAAAACCAUUCCAGCAAAGAUCUUCAAAUCAAAUGUUGCAGACCUGCACACUUACUUGGGUGCCUCAACCCCAGACCUACAGUGAAAUGUGAUUAAUUGAGGACUAUAGAGCCAUGUUAUACUCCAUGUGAAUCAGUGUUUUCAACUGUAAAUGUGCAGUGCAAGUACUGACAAGCAGGUUAGAUCAACAACAGGAUCUGUGAGUAACGACGGAGGAACAUCCCCCAUCACCACAGAAGAGCCAACCUCCAACUCCAUCAGACCACUCUCAUCAGCAAACGUUUUAACUCUCCAUCCAAAGCCACUGCCUUGUCUACUAGUAUAUUCCCAAAGGUCAUCUAGAACAGUAACAUCUCAAGUUGGUACUUGAAAAUUACUUGAAUUAAAAUGAGAGGAGAAUAGAUAAUGUUCAAAUAUUUUAAUGAAACAUUUUAUUAAAUGUAUUGGUCUUGCAAAUUAA